GGCUCAGAACGAACGCUGGCGGCAGGCCUAACACAUGCAAGUCGAACGCUGCAGCAAUGCAGAGUGGCAGACGGGUGAGUAACGCGUGGGAACCUUCCCAGUGGUACGGAAUAGCCCAGGGAAACUUGGGGUAAUACCGUAUAAGCCCCUAGGGGGAAAGAUUUAUCGCCAUUGGAUGGGCCCGCGUCGGAUUAGCUAGUUGGUGAGGUAACGGCUCACCAAGGCAACGAUCCGUAGCUGGUUUGAGAGAAUGACCAGCCACACUGGGACUGAGACAGGACCCAGACUCCUACGUGCGGCAGCAGUGAAUCUU
rnacentral:rRNA from 2 species